rnacentral:rRNA from 1 species
UACGUAGGGGGCAAGCGUUAUCCGGAAUUAUUGGGCGUAAAGAGUGCGUAGGUGGUUAUGUAAGCGCAGGGUGAAAGGCAAUAGCUCAACUAUUGUAAGCCUUGCGAACUGCAUGACUUGAGUGCAGGAGAGGAAAGUGGAAUUCCUAGUGUAGCGGUGAAAUGCGUAGAUAUUAGGAGGAACACCAGUGGCGAAGGCGACUUUCUGGACUGUAACUGACACUGAGGCACGAAAGCGUGGGGAGCAAACAGGAUUAGAUACCCUGGUAGUCCACGCCGUAAACGAUGAGCACUAGGUGUCGGGGUCGCAAGACUUCGGUGCCGCAGUUAACGCAUUAAGUGCUCCGCCUGGGGAGUACGCACGCAAGUGUGAA